AUGAAAUGAUGUGGACACUUCUUCAGUAAUUCAUUAAAGCGUUCACAUGCCUCAUAAAAUGUUCCCCAUCCUCGUGUGAAAAUUCCCUAAUUGAAGUUCUCGU